rnacentral:tRNA from 1 species
UGCGAGUUAAUUUAAAGGAAUAUUAAAUUUUGAUUUUAAAAGAGUUGGUGUAAUUCUAGCACUCGCAC